UGAAAGCAAGUCGAUCCUUUCUUGCAAGAAUCCUACAGAAUGUAGCUUCUCAUUUAGCUGCUGUUGGAGUUGCCUUUUCUCACUCCCAGCAUUUUUAACACAGAGUUCCAGGUUAUCAACUUCGAUGCUUAGUAGCUUGGGACAGAAAGUUUCUUCAAGGAAGGAAAACUCCUGGCUGUAAACCUUGAGCUACUCUUAGUUUCACUUUGAUGAUGUAGGUUCUUGACGAUGAAGUUCCAUUUAAUAUAUUAACGAACAUAUCUCAAGCAUUUUAAGUUAUAUCCCUUGCUCUCUAACAGUUGUGAUCUAACAUCAAUCUCAUAAAAAAUAACAAUAUAAAUCUAUUAAAAUUACUUACAUGUUCUACAGUAGCGUCUGAAAUGGCCUUUUCCUUCUUCUUUAAUGCAAAAAGGGCAGCAAGAAUUCCUGAUCCCAGAAUACCGAGUACAUUGAGAAUGGAGAAGAAGGGGUGCCCUGAUGGACGUUCCUGCCCCGAUAGCUGUGCACGUGAAAUGUGCACAUCAGCAUGCAUGAUAGUGUAUAGAUGACAUACAAAAACGAAACCAGCAGUUGUAUAAUCCUUUGAUUUUAUACUAGGAUGCAGACCUCUUCAUUUUGAUUCA